UCUACCCAUUUGAUGUUAAUAAUCCGAUUACUAUGAUUUCCUUCCAGUUUUAUCUGAGUGUGGUGUUGUGUCUGACUUCAGUUGUCUCAAAUUUAGCCUUCAUUCUUUUUUUUUCAACAUCAUAUAUCUUUGUAUCAGAAAUUAGCCACAUAGAAACCCGAAUAAAGGAACUCAUAUAUUCUAAAAUAGCCAACUCUCCAAACUGUAAAAGGGAAACAAUAAUUGACCGGAAGCGAGAAAUCAACCACAUGGGAUGCAGACAAAAAGGGAAUAGAAUUAACCCUAAUCUGAAACCGGCUGGUGUUUUAAGUUCGUUUGAACAGACAGGGGGGCAGGAAUUAAACGAAAAUUCUGAUUUGAAGCAAAACAAUACAGGAAAUAACAGUACAACUGUCGACUGUGAAGUCGCCUUCGAAGGAUUGAGACAAAAGUAUGAAAUGCUGCUCGAUAUUUUAUCCACAGUCAAUUCCUUUUUAACCCAUAUCAUCUUUUCAUCUUUUGUCACAACUAUCCCAUUAACUUGUCUUGUGUUGUAUGGGCAGAUAAGAAGCGUACUUACUAAUGAAUUUUGGAACAGUCUGCUGUCAAUAACAAGCACGUCAUUUUACCAGAUGUGUAUGGUGUUAUUUGUGGGAGCUUAUGUUAGCGUCAAGAUAAAGAAACCCCUAGAACACGUGAUGAAGAUAGACACAAGAAAUUGUUCACAUGGUUUAAUGUCAACGGUUUCAUUGUUUGCAGUAAGACUGAUGUCGCCACCUACCGGCUUUACAAUAUAUGAAUUGUUUGCAAUAGAUACAACAACUAUACUAACGAUUGCGGGGACGUUUGUAACGUACAUCAUUGUUAUGGUACAGUUCGCUCAAACACCUGAUGGUGGUUCUGUAUCCUGCUCAAAUGGAACUGGAACCUUCUGAUUAAAACAGCUGAAACGUGUUCUCUACCUUGUUCAAAUGGACCUGGAACCUUCUGAUUAAAAUCGCCUGAAGACGUUUCUCUGCCGUCUUCAAAAUGGAACUGCUUCAAACACGUUAAAGUGGAACUGUGAUAUAAUAUAAAGAACUUGUUUGUAUCAAAUUUCAACACGAAUAUGAACUCCCUUAACUUUACAAUUCAGGGUCCGCAAAACAGGUUUAAAGGCGUUCUAAGCAUGAACGAAAAAUUCAAAUUGUAAUCAGUGGCUUUCCACCUGUUUAUGCUUACCCUAUGAAUCCAAUCAUAACCAAACAGUAGACAAACUAAAUCAAUUUCUUUUACAACAAUAACUAAGCUGAUAAUCUUUAAAUGACAUUCAUGUAGUAACUGGAUAGAGUGAAAGAGUAUUCUCUCAACAUUAUCAAGCUAACUUAACUGUUUCAGUUAAAGAAUAGUAACCAUCUAUCUUUAUAUUAUGUCCAUUACAGCAAAAAUCAAGUUACAUAGUUAAAUUACCCAAAUGAUCCAUAACAACUUAAAUAAGUUAAUUUAUAUGGUGUUUUGUUUCGACCAUUGCUUUGAUGUUGCGUGGCAUAUGUUUCGAACAUUGAUUUGGUAUUGCCUGUCCAUGUUUGCUUUGAUUCGUUCGUGGCCUUACCCGUCCCCGAAAUAAUGUCUCCAACGUUGAAAUAUUUAAUUGUAAAAUGUGUUACGCCUUAAAUGUAUUACCGGGUCCUUUGAACACAUUUCCAAACCUUGUCUAGUAUUUUGAAACUCUACAUAAGCUUCAUGUUGCAGCAAUUCCCCAAUAAAAAACAUUCUAUGAAGCAAACCAUUUUAAAACAACAAUUCGUUAUAUAACUUUUGUAGUUCUGUUAUAUUUAAAACAACAAUUCGUUAUAUAACAAUAA